AUGGGAUUGUGCAGACCCAGCUUUGGGCCCCGAGGACGCUGGAUUGGGGAUUGUUAUGCUAAUCGCCUGAGAUCAGCAGUUCCCGUGCCCUUCAGAUGGCAGUAGCCCCAAACUGGAAACGGCUGAGACAUCCAUCAGUGAGAGAGCAUGGGGCCAUCAAACCGGGGUGCAACCAAAGAAUGGAAAACUCCUCAGCCAGCAAUGAAAGGGAACAAGCUACUCAUCCAAGCCACACCACAACAUGGACCAAUGUCACAACCUCGAUGUGGAGUAAAAGAAGCCAGACUCCAGGGAGUUUAUGCCUCCAUGUAUAUGAAGUUCAAGAACAACUAAAACUAAUCUAUGGUGAGGGAAGUCAGAAUAGUGGCUGCCAACAGGGGACGGUCUUGACAGGAAGCAAAUAGAGGGAACCUCCUCGGGUGAUGGGAAUUCAUUAUAUCCUGAUCUGGGUGCAGUCACAUGGGUGUCUGUAUAGGGAAAAAUGCACCCGGAGGUACCCUUAAUAUUUGUUCGAAUUAAUGUACGUCACCUAUGCAUCCGUUAAAUCAUGGAAGUUAAAAAAAAAUUAAUUCAUUUAAGGGAAAAUACUAACUAGCAGUUUAGGGGUUCCGAUGAUAUGGCCAAAAAGCAAAAGCAAACAAGACAAACCCCAGCGACUGAAGGUGGGAGACGUAUCCUCGUUAAGUGCUGGGCAGUGCGGUUUUACUCGGUGUCCCCCUCUCAUAGGCUCCAGAUAACAUACAAGACGGACGCCUAGUGAAACCUGAAUUUCAGACGAAUAAAUAAAUACUUUUUUCUAGUAUAAGUAUGACCCAUUCGAUAUUUGGGACGUACUUACGCUAGGACGUUUAUUUGUUUGUGUGUUUGUUUGUUUAGCUUUGACUCGUUGUUUAUCAGAAAUGCGAAUUUAAUCGGGCGUCCUGUGUUUUUAUUUGCCAAAUCUGGCAAGCCUGCCCUCUCGGGGACCCCGCCCCGUCUCGCAGCCCGGUGCCCACCGCAGGCGGGAGCGCCCAGCGCGGUGCAGUCACGCCGGGCGCAGCCUGGCAACGCGGCCACAAAGGGAGCCCGGGAGGCGGAAUCUUUCCACAUGCCUGAUCAAUGGGGGCGCGGAGACGGCGGUGCAAACAGGCCUGAGACAGCCGCACAAAGAGGAGGCCCCUCGGCCGCUCCCGCCUUCCAUUGAUCCGGGCCCUUUGUGGCUCGGACAACGGGGGCGCGGGAGGCGCCUCGCAGGGACUUGGCCGUUCUCGUUAGGGGGAGAAAGCCCAGGAGGACCCCCGCCCCGCCACCCCACCCCACCGGUUCACCCUCCUGCGGGCUCCAGGUCUGAGGUCCGGGGGUGUCCACAUCCCUUCUGGAACACAGGGCAGGGCGCAGGGUGGUGUGGGGCCAGGCCUAGGAGGGUCCUGUAUUCCAGAAAAGUCUGCAGCCUGCCAGUGGGGCCAGCCAUCCAGCUCUGGCUUCCUGAGGACCCCCCAGUCUGCCCUGGCAGGCUUUUCUAUCCCCCUGGUUACAGGCAAGACUUGCACAGUCUUUAUUUUAUUUUUUGUUUAUUGAGCAAAUAUUUAUUGAGCAUUUGCUCCAAGAGGUUCCCACUCUCUCCUGCUCCUAUGGCCACUUAGAGUGGCCAAUUCCUUCUCAAGCAUCACCUCUCUGGGAAAGCAUCCCUGACCCCUCUCCCACCCCCAGAUUGGAUAGGGAGUCUUCCCCCCCCCCCCCCAUCUCUCUCUGUGCCUUCCAGUUCCCUAUUCUUCAGGAUAGGAACAGCUAUCAAUUCUUGGACAUUUGCUGCGCACAGUGUCAGGCCUCCCCUGGCCCUUUCGCAGACCAUCGCUCCCUACCUCCCACUCCGCCAAGCCGUUUGCCCUCCUUCCACGUCCAAACGCUUUGGCGUCAAAGAAACGCACUUGGGGCCCUGCUCCCCGGAGGCACCUGCGCCUCUGCGGUGGCCCGGGUUCAGCGGAAAUCAAGGCCGAGCCCACGAAGCGCCCGCCCCGGCCCCGGCCGCGGCCCGACCCGGGCCCGGACGAGCCGCAGCUCCCCAGCCCGCGGAGCUAGGGGCCCAGGCCGGGCAGGCGCGGGGCUCCCGGCGAGGCCUCCCUCCGACGUGGGUGGAGUCUGCGCCGGGCCUCGCUCCCGCCCGCUUUCUCCAGGAGUAAUUAAGAGUGAAAUCCUCCUCCUGGUGACCUCGGUGCUCCUGGCCCGGGCUGAUUUACACAUGAAAGGUCUACGGAGGGCCUGGGCUUUCUCCUUUUCACAUUCACAAUGAGGCGCGGCCUAUAAAUAAAACCUCUCUGAGAAACAA